rnacentral:misc_RNA from 1 species
AGCAUUUGCCCUAAAACCGAACAC